UGGAAGCUCAAGGGUUAUGAAACUUCCAUGAGUUAUGGGAUGACUUUUGGGCUUAUUGCUCAUUAUGAGGGUGAGUUAAUGUGUCUUAUAAUGAGAGAGUUAGUGUGUGUCUAGGUUCAUUGUAUCUAGGAGCAUAUAAAUAGUGGGGUUUGGCUAAGGUCAAAACACAUAAGAGAGAGCGUGUAUGUGAGUUGUAAUU
rnacentral:lncRNA from 1 species